GUGGCCAUGGUAUAAUGGUUAUUACUUCGGUUUGUGGAACCGACAAUACGGGUUCAAUUCCCGUUGGCCACCCCA
rnacentral:tRNA from 1 species